UGGGAGUGUCCAAAACUAACAUCAAUUAAAAUAUGGUUAAAUAUAGAUUUCUUCAUAAAAGACAUAAAACGAGUGUCCUAAAGAUCUACAAUGAUAAAUGCAAUUGGAUGCUUGUGUUUUUACAGAUAAAGUACAGAGACUGGAUGCUGAAAGGGUUCAGCAUAAAAAUCUUGGAGAGGGGUCUGCUACCCUCUUGGGC
rnacentral:lncRNA from 1 species